rnacentral:lncRNA from 1 species
UCAGUUGAUACUCUCAUCCAUCUUUGUUUGUCACAACACAAAUAGUACUUUAAAUUACUCAAAACUUAGCACACUCAUUCAUCCAUCAUCCUUCCUCAAUCUUUUUAAAACUAUUCAAAAUCCUAAAGCAACCUUUUACAAAAAAAAUAAUUAAGUCCUUUCUUAAGAAAUAUAUAAGUGACGAGGUGGACAAUCUUAAAGUAAUUGGUAUUAAAUUAGUUGCUGUUAGAAUCAAUACAGAAACCAUUCAAGACAGUGGAGUCUCUCACUACUAGGAUAGCUUUCUUCAUGAAAUUAUAUCUUAAGAAGACAAUAAUUAGUAAGAAUAGUAACAACUCUGUUCCAUUUAAACUGAGUAUUGUAGCAUUUUUCUUCUAUGUGAUGAUAACACCUCUUAACAGAAAACUCAAUAAUGAAAGAAAAAAGUUGAUUUAUUCCUUAAGAUUGAUCAAUGAUCAAAACUCUUUUGAAACAGUUCUUUCUAAAUAACACAAAUAAACCAACACCUCUGCUAAUUAACACCAUCAACUGUAAUAAUAUAUUGUAGGCAGCUACUUUGACAAUAGAGCUAUGCUUGGCACAUACUCAUAAAUCCAUAAAUUUGAAAUUGGCGAAGUGUGUUCCCUUGAUGAUCGUAUGACGUGAGCUUCUGCUGCUCAACAUUUCCUCCAAGGAUUUCAGCACCAUCAUUCCAAAUACCAUAAAAACGAAACAUUGACUGAGUUGUGUCAAAGUUAUACUUUUUGUCCCACCCAUUUUUUUUUUCCAUAAUCCAUAUUUCCAACCAAACCAUACUAGAAUUCCUAUACUCCACAACAUAACCAAGAGAGCCCUUUAUCUCAAUGAGGUCAUCACGGAAAUAUGAGAUAAACACGGCAGUAUCAGGUAAUUUUGGG